rnacentral:rRNA from 1 species
UACGGGGGGAGCAAGCGUUGUUCGGAUUUACUGGGCGUAAAGGGCGCGUAGGCGGUCAGCACAAGUCAGUUGUGAAAUCUCCGGGCUUAACUCGGAAAGGUCAACUGAUACUGUGCGACUAGAGUGCGGAAGGGGCAACUGGAAUUCUCGGUGUAGCGGUGAAAUGCGUAGAUAUCGAGAGGAACACCUGCGGCGAAGGCGGGUUGCUGGGCCAUUCCUGACGCUGAGACGCGAAAGCUAGGGGAGCGAACAGG